rnacentral:lncRNA from 1 species
CACAAAAUCCAAAAAUUUGUAAACCGGUUUUAUUUCUCAAAGAUCUAAAAUUACAAAGAACAUCACUCACUUUGAAAAUCCCUCAAAAUCCAAUACUGAUCCAAACGACACGAAAUCACCUCUCUAAAAUCCCUCCACAAAUUCGCCCCUCCCUUCAUUUGGCUCUCCGAUGUUCCCCCAAAUCCCUCCACCUGUUUGUCCCCUAUUCUUCUGCCUCAAUCUUCUCGAAUUGGUCAGCCGAUGGAACAACUUACUCCCCCAUAAAGUCCAAUAUCCUCUCGCCUUGGACUUCAUACAUUGGUCCAGCUGACGGAACAACUUACAAUGGAGCCAAAGCCUCCACAUUGGAACCUCAUUGGAUUGCCAAUCGAGUCAGGUCUCAUAUUGGAUAAGAGGCCAUAAUAGGACUUAGGUUGGAUGUCUCUGUAAUUGCAUCAGAUUGGCCCUUCAAAUUAAGCUUACUCAACAUUGAAUUAGUCCUUCUCCCUUCUACUAACUCAUGUUAUUGGAAUUAAACAAAGCAUUUUAUUACUGAUAAGU